CGUAAAGUUCCUGUACCGAGCCGAGUUGAGCCGCGCCUACGCCAAGCCGAGCCGGUCCCUGUCCUUUUCCAGCCGAGCCGCCAAGACUAAUUUGGCUCCAUCCACCUAAAUUUUGGGACGUCUUGGACCAAGUAAUUGCUGCAGCGCGGGAUUUCUUCAGUAGGGGCUCGAGCACUGCAACCUCUUUCUAGGUUAGGACCUCGUCGCUUGGAAAGCAUACCGCCUCGCGGUUAGGACUCGUCAAGUAAAUCUCCAGGUAGAGGACGAGGCAAGGGCAAGGGCAAGCUGGCGAGCGACCCGAAGUGACCGUGGCGGGCCAUAGGGACUACUGCUUCCGCUUAUCCUUAUUUUAGACUUUCGUACUUGAGUUUGAGUACUUUUCAUUACUUAUCAUCUUUUUAUGUAGAUAGGGCCCGAGUAGGACUUUAGAACGCAUUACACCUUUUUGCAUAACUACCUUGUUUAAAUUUUCAUAAAUAAAAUUUCUUAAACCUUAUGCGU